rnacentral:rRNA from 1 species
GCAAGUCGAACGGUAACAUUUUUAGCUUGCUAGAAGAUGACGAGUGGCGGACGGGUGAGUAAUACUUGGGGAUGUGCCUUUGCGUGGGGGAUAACCAUUGGAAACGAUGGCUAAUACCGCAUAAUACCUACGGGUCAAAGGGGGCUUCGGCUCCCGCGCAAAGAGCAACCCAAGCGAGAUUAGCUAGUUGGUGAGGUAAAGGCUCACCAAGGCGACGAUCUCUAGCUGUUCUGAGAGGAAGAUC